rnacentral:rRNA from 1 species
GCAAGUCGAGGGGCAGCACGAGUACUUGUACUUGGUGGCGACCGGCGCAAGGGUGCGUAACGCGUAUGCAACCUACCAAUUACUGGAGGAUAGCACGGGGAAACUCGGAUUAAUACUCCAUAGUAUUUUCAAGUGGCAUCACUUGAUUCUUAAAGAUUUAUUGGUAAUGGAUGGGCAUGCGUGUCAUUAGCUAGAUGGUAAGGUAACGGCUUACCAUGGCAACGAUGACUAGGGGGCCUGAGAGGGUGAUC